UCUUAUCAGGAGAGGUGGAGGGACUGACCCAACGAAGCCUCGGCAACCAGCAUGUGAAUGCCCGGUGCCAAUUUCAGAGGAAGGUAAUACUAUUCCAAAGAUGAGA
rnacentral:ncRNA from 1 species